rnacentral:misc_RNA from 1 species
AAGUCGUAAACAAGGUUUCCGUAGGUGAACCUGCGGAAGGAUCAGUUAGAGAACCGCCGGACGCAAGCCGGUUUCUACCCCACACACACCUGUGAAACCGUUUAUUAGGAUCGUGGAUUUACCCUCGGGGGAAACCGUCCGACCUUACAAAACAUCUUAUAACGUCAUGAAUGUAGUCUUAUUUUAACAAAUAAAA